rnacentral:rRNA from 1 species
AACGUAGGGGGCGAGCGUUAUCCGGAAUCACUGGGCGUAAAGGGCGUCUAGGCGGCUCGAUAAGACUCAUGUGAAAGCUCCUGGCUCAACCAGGAGAGUGCGUGAGUGACUGUUGGGCUCGAGAGUCGGAGGGGGGUGUGGAAUUCCCGGUGGAGUGGUGGAAUGCGUUGAGAUCGGGAGGAACACCAGAAGCGAAGGCGGCACCCUGGCCGACAUCUGACGCUGAAGCGCGAGAGCGUGGGGAGCGAACGGG